ensembl:lncRNA
CUGACGCAGAACCUCUAGCCACUGAUGUCUCUAGGAGUGGUCACCCGAAUGCAAAAUAUGCCGGAGUAUUUGCAAAAGCAACAGCUGCAAUCCGUUCAGUGGACCAGAUGCCGGAGGCAUCCAGAAGAAGAACUGCACAACUAGCAGUGUCUGAGUCAACAGGGCUUAGCUGGAAGAGACUCCCAACCAUCUGGCAAAGUUGUCCAAGAGUGCAGCAGUCAUAAAUGAGUUCCCCCACCCUGUCAUCAUCUCCNUGGAGAAAGUUAUCUAGUAGAGAGCCUGUGCCUAGAUUCAUCACUGCACACAAAGAUGUCAUCAAAGAACAAAGUACAACAAUAGACUUAUUGGAGUUUUGCCUGUCUUCAUGUGCAGACUGGAAAUCUUGACGAACGUGAGGUCUGGGUAGAUAUGUGCUCUACCCCAUCUGACCUCCAGGAGCAGGAAAGGCACNGCAGUGUAUCUGAGUACCUCCUGAAAUCUUCAAAAUGCCCUCUGCAUGCCACUAUUAGCACUCAUUGUGUUGUGUAAAUCUGCUGUAAAAUCAUAGGCUCUUUUCACGAUUCUAGUUAUCCACAGGUUUGCUACUGGAAUAAGGUGCCAAAAAGACUCUAUAUAUUGAAGGAAGAACAAUUCCAAGGGAAUUAUAGAGACUGCUGAAGACCAUUCUGUCUUUGAAAANUACAUANGAANAUAAGAGGAGCCUUGCUGGAUCAGGCCACGGCCCAUCUAGUCCAGCAUCCUGUUUCACACAUUGGCCCACUAAUUGCUUCUGGGCAUUCUCAAGCAAAAGACAAAGGCCAAAAUCUUCACCUGCUCUUGACUCCCCGCAAAUGGUUUUACAGACAUCCUGCCUGUCUUUCCUACCUGGAGGCAAAAAAAUGUAAAGAAGCCCUCACUUAUGCCAUCCCUUCCAGCUCCCCUGGAGGUCCCUCAGCCUGCCAAAGGUCCUCUGGGUGUGUGGGACUUCAGACUCAUGCCUAUUAGUUUUGUCCUAGAUGCAGUACUGAGUUCCACAAUUGACUAAUUUAUAAAGGUUGAGUUGGGAGAUUGUUGCAAUGCUUCAUCGUGAAACUCUCCUUAUGUAUGUGAACUUUUGUAAUGGAGCGAUUCCUCUAGGAUUGUUGUUAUAUUAUAAGCUGCCUUGAGAGUUUUAUUGAGAGUGUGUGUAAAUGGAUGUAGAACAUGCUUUUAAAUAGGGCACACUUAAGGGGCUCUGAUUAAUUCUUGAGAUUGGAACCAUCUUGGAGCNUGCCAUUGUUGUGGUAUGAUUUGUGGUAAUCAGCAUACCUCUGAUUCACUUCAGUACAUGGAGCAUAGUGUCAGAGUCCACAGGUUUUGGGGGAAGUGCCUGC